rnacentral:rRNA from 1 species
UGGGGAAUUUUGCGCAAUGGGGGAAACCCUGACGCAGCAACGCCGCGUGGAGGAUGAAGUCCCUUGGGACGUAAACUCCUUUCGAUCGGGAAGCUGCGGGGUGAAUACUCCCGCAGAGUGACGGUACCGAGAGAAGAAGCCCCGGCUAACUAC